rnacentral:rRNA from 1 species
GACGGAGGAUGCAAGCGUUAUCCGGAAUGAUUGGGCGUAAAGCGUCCGCAGGUGGCAGUUCAAGUCUGCUGUCAAAGACCGGGGCUUAACUUCGGAAAGGCAGUGGAAACUGAACAGCUAGAGUAUGGUAGGGGCAGAGGGAAUUCCUGGUGUAGCGGUGAAAUGCGUAGAGAUCAGGAAGAACAUCGGUGGCGAAGGCGGCUCGCUGGGCCAGUUCUGACACUCAUCCGCGAAAGCGUGGGGAGCAAACAGG